GAUGAACGCUAGCGGCAGGCCUAAUACAUGCAAGCCGAACGGCCGGUUUGAUAGCAAUAUUGGAUCUAGAGUGGCGCAAGGGUGCGUAACACGUAUGCAACCUGCCCGCGACAGGAGGAUAGCUCCCCGAAAGGGGAAUUAACCCACCAUAACACCAUGAGAAGGCAUCUGAUUAUGGUUAAACCGCAAUGGGUCGCGGAUGGGCAUGCGGUUGAUGAGUUAGUUGGCGGGGUAACGGCCUACCAAGGCGACGAUGCAUAGCAGACGUGAGAGGGUGGUCGGCCACACGGGAAAUGAGACACGGACCAGACUCCUACGGGAGGGAGCAGUAGGGAAUCUUCCGCAAUGGGCGAGAGCCUGACGGAGCAACGCCGAGUGAGGGAUGAAGGUUUUCGGAUCGUAAAACGCUGUGAUUAGGGAAGAACAUAUGUGUAAGGAAAUGUGCAGAGAUUGACGGUACCUAAUCAGAAAGCCACGGCUAACUACGUG
rnacentral:rRNA from 1 species